rnacentral:snRNA from 1 species
GUGUUCACUUCAGCAACACAUAUACUAAAAUUGGAAUGCUACAGAGAAGAUUAGCAUGGCCUCUGUGCAAGGAUGACACACAAAUUCAUGAAGCGUUCCAUAUUUUU